CGGCGGCAUCGUUUGCGGGGUGCCCCGGGUGACCGGGGAGAAUCGGGAAGCCGGUGGAAGUCCGGCACGGGCCCGCCGCGGUAACCGGGGAGUCCCCGUCCACGCGCUCAGCGCGGCCACUGGACCUAACAGUCCGGGAAGGCGGACGGUCGGCGUCGAUCCGGGAGUCCGAAGACCGGCCCCGCGCGGGUGCCGCCC
rnacentral:ncRNA from 2 species